AUAAAUACUUCAGACGUUUUAUUUUACGUAAUCAUUCAUCGUAUAUUGGUUCUAAAUUUGGUUGCAUAAUAUGCUUCAUAGCUUGCUUUUUAGGCUGAUAUAAGCCAAUUACUUUGAGAAUAUUGAGUUGAAUGGAUCGAUCAUUUCUCGACUUUUCCCCGUCUUUCUCCAUUGACUGAUCAUUGAUCUCGCCAACAUUUGCGACGUUACGUGGUGUGCACGUUUGUUUUUUGUUAUGGAUAUGGCCACGCUGGAGGACAUUAUUCUCUCCUCGCUCCUUCGUGGGGCCUUGAACCCACGACUGCCUACUUAUCUCCUACAAAUCUGGGAAUGAUACGUGUGAGUUGUGAGUUCGUUCAACGCGCAAAGUUGCAGAAACGGAAAAGCUAACCAAACAAGGAAAGAACAACGCAAAAUAACGACCUUUAAUCUACCAUAGGGAAAUUGGGCACAUGAACUAUUAUUCGUUCGUAUUACUUUACCUGGAAUAAAUUAUCCAAUCCACCCAACAAACAGCAGUCUAUCUACCUCCUGUAUAUAUAAUAUUGAACUUGUCAAUCAUGCUGUUAGUUGGUGAACAUUAUGCUAUUUACAGUUUCAAUAGUCUCUCGUAUUUUUGAGGGUCUUUUAUAUUUGAACAAAAGUUCAAUGCAACCGUAAAGUUUUGAAGUUUAAAAAUCAUCAUAAACCUUCAUUCGUGAGCUAAGAAGAUGAAUUAUUGCGUGACUUGGAGGGGGUGGAGGUCACCCUGGCAUUUUGUUGACACUGACGUUGGCUGGUAUCUACACGUACGCACACAUCAUCGGGAGAAAUGUGACGUGGAGUUUGGAACUGGCUGUCUGAGUUGGAGGAUGCAUAAAAUGACGACAACGACGACAUGACAUCAUCAUCAUUCAUGAGCUAAAAAACGAUUUCAUGGGAUAUGCAUGGAAUCCAUUGUAAAUAGCACAAACUAGCAAUUUAUAUUACGUUACAAUACAAUGCACAAUGUUUAUCCUGACCAGACUAUGAUUUUUGAUUGCGAAAUUGUUCAAGACAUUGCAUUGAAUUAAUAAAAUUGCAUCUAAUUUCUUA